CUGCAACUCGACUGCACGAAGUCGGAAUUGCUAGUAAUCGCGGAUCAGCAUGCCGCGGUGAAUACGUUCCCGGGCCUUGUACACACCGCCCGUCACACCAUGAGAGUCGGGAACACCCGAAGUCGGUAGUCUAACCUCGUGAGGACGCCGCCGAAGGUGGGCUUGAUAAUUGGGGUGAAGUCGUAACAAGGUACC
rnacentral:rRNA from 1 species